GCCGGAUAAGGCGUUUACGCCGCAUCCGGCAUUUGAGCGGAUGCCUGAUGCGACGCUGGUUGCGUCUUAUCAGGCC
rnacentral:ncRNA from 1 species